rnacentral:rRNA from 1 species
CACGUAGGCACCAAGCGUUGUCCGGAUUUAUUGGGCGUAAAGCGCUCGCAGGUGGUUCGAUGCGUCGUGCGUGAAAGACCCCGGCUCAACUGGGGAGGGUCGUGCGAUACGGUCGGACUGGAGGCCAGUAGGGGGAUGCGGAAUUCCGGGUGUAGUGGUGGAAUGCGUAGAGAUCCGGAGGAACACCAGCGGCGAAGGCGGCAUCCUGGACUGGUCCUGACACUCAUGAGCGAAAGCGUGGGGAGCGAUCCGG